rnacentral:tRNA from 1 species
GCUGGCGUAGCUCAGUAGGCAGAGCAGCGGUUUUGUAAACCGCGGGUUGGAGGUUCGAUUCCUCUCGCCAGCU